UCCGUAGGUGAACCUGCGGAAGGAUCAUUU
rnacentral:rRNA from 10 species